UUCAGUUCUUCUGUAACGCUUCAAACUUUUUUCUACCAACCACAUUGUUUAGGCCGUUCAAUUAAAACUCCCCGGAUAUGUAUUUUCAUGGGUUACAUAUGUGAUCAUUGUAACGAAUGGCAACCGACAUCAUCACCCCUUUCGGACAUUUAUUCUUCUCUCUCACUGAUUAGUUUUUUCCGUGAUUUCGCAGAAUCAUCAUAUUAGAAAUUGAAAUGGUGUACAAACCAGUAGCAUUAGUACCAGGUUCAUAAAAUACAAGAUCAUUGAUGAGAUUUUGGUGAGUUGGAUUCGAUGAAAACUGAUAUUCAUGUUUAAGGGAAACUGAGACUGCUAAUGGAAAGCGGAAGAAACAGAUGUUAUUUUCAAUUGAUUUUAACACCCAGAUAAUAUCUUUCCAGUCGAUCUCCAGGUAUCUAAAUUAGAGUUCCAUUUAGUUUUUCUCCUUUGAAAUUCAAUUAGUUAUCUUUUGAUUUUGAAUGUUUUUUUUCCCAGAGAUUUGAUUUGACUAACCUUUUUGGUGAUGAGGGCUUCUCCAUUUCGGCAGCACGCAAAAAAAACUUAAUUCAGAUGCCGUCCUUUAGGAACCAUGAUUAUCAAAUUCCCUAAACCAAUUUCUGCAGAUUCAAAUUGGUUUCAUAUCAUUGUUAGAUUUUAAAGCUCUUCCAACACCUCCCAGAACCGCCUACAAAACUUUCAAACAUACAGCCGAGGAUGAAGAAGGCAAAUCCCUCGAUGACCCGCAUUCGAAUCUCAAAACUAGGACGAAUUAGAUUUCAUAGGGAUUAAUGAUGUCACCAGUUUAAUUGGAUGUGUUCAUGCUUGAUGACAAUGGCGAGAAACUGCACGGGGUGGUACCAAAGAACCUAAUCCGGAAAUUUGAUCCUUGCUUCCCAUUGGCGACAUAUAUUUCCUAGUAUGGAAAAAGAAGAUAUUUUGCCCCGCUCGCAGUGACCACUGUCUCUUCUUCAAGUGGGAUCGAUACCGAGGUGAAGCCUCUGCGCUGCACUUCGGUUGAACAAGCUCAAUUUUACCCAGUAUGAAGAUUUGGAAUCACGAUCUGCAAAUGCUUAUUUUAUGGGAAAUGAAUAGAGCCAAUGGUCAUUGCACGAUGCGGGACCUAACUCUUCAGAACCUAAGGGAGGAGAUAAGGUUAAAAAAGGCCGGGAAACUGACGAAUGGAAUUAAGGGAAAAAUAUUACAAAUGCACAAGUUGCCGUGAAUCCAUAAUCGCAACUCAAACCAAGGUUGACUUUCAUUGGGUCAGGAACAUGGACUACAUGAUGAUCUUCAGCUCUCAAUUUUUUUUGUGCUGAACUCCGGAUCGUUUGGAUUGAUAUUUGCGGCUUUCAAGAAAAUACAACUCAGGAACUCUUCUUGCGUAAUAUAUAUUCAGGUGAAAGAGAAUUAAUACGGUUUCAAUCAAAGAGAAGAUUGGUGUGGGAACUAGAUAAACUGCCAAAGAUUAUCCAAGUCCUAAGGAUUAUUGAUUUGCUACAUGAACUGUUCUAUAUAGGGUUCUCUUGAAUUUUAAGAAUUUUAGGGUCUAAGCACUUUGCCAGGUAAUCUUUACAAGCUUCUCAUUGUACUUAUAUAUACAAGAAUUGACGAAUUUUUUAUUCAAAAUCUAAGGUAAGUUCACAAAAAAAUAA